ACCUAUGUGAUAACACAAAAAUGACAAAAAUUCUAGCAGCAAACACGUGUGUUUUAAAACGUUGAGCAUUUAAAAUGAGAAACUAUGAAUUAAAAAAACAUGAUAAUGCGACGGAGUACAGUGUGCUUAAUAAAUGUGAAUGUUUAUGUGAAGUCAAUGUAGCUUCUGACUAUGUUUUUAAUAUUGAUGUGACAAAAGAAAAUAAUCCUCACAUUGCUGUUGCUGCUGCAAAUAAAUCUUCUGUGUUGUAUAAUUUAGACAAUAAUCAAAUUUCGAAAAUUUGGGAAUAUAACUAUAAUAAUAAAGUGAUUGGAUGCAAAUUUAAUAACAGAGAUAGGAAUUUAGUGUAUGUUGCUACUAGUGAUGGUUUAAUAAAGGUUUUGGAUUUAAGAACUCCCAAAAAUUUCAUAUUUCAAUUUAGCGAUACUACAGUCGAAAAUGGAGAUAACAAACUAUUCAACUGCUUUGAUUUAUCGUCUAAUGAUAGAUUGUUAGCAGCAGGCACUGAUGUAUGGGAAGGGGAUGCAUAUAUAUUGUUCUGGGAUACUAGAAAUACAAAAUUAUUGGGAGCAUAUUGGGAAUCUCAUGAUGAUGAUAUAACUCAGGUAAAAUUUCAUCCUGAUGAUAUGAACAAAUUAAUAUCUGGAUCAACUGAUGGCCUUAUAAAUGUGUACGAUUUGUCUAAAGCUUGUGAAGAUGAUGCUUUGAUAGAUACCCUAAAUACAGAACUAUCCGUUCAUGAGCUUUUGUGGUUUAACAAUAGAAACAAAGAUUGUAUUAGUUGUAUAUCACAUACUUCUGAUCUACAAUUAUGGGAUCUAGAUAAUGGAGCACCGUAUGUAUCUUUUAGUGGUGAACAACUUAGUAAAAAUAUAGGAAUUAAUGAUAAUGAAGAUGAAUCUGAUGCUUUUUACCUGGCAAAAUGUAAUGAAACAAGUAACGGUCUACUUAUUGUAGCUGGCAAGGGAGAGUGUCAUAGAUUAUCAAAAAUACAGAAUAAUUCAGUUGUACCUUUCGUCGAAUUGCAUAAUAAUAAACAAAGGAUUAUGGAUAGUACAUUUAAUGAGAAUAAGAAGUCAAAAUACAAGCAAUGGUAUAGUAAGCUGACGGCCUUAACCCCAAUGUAAUAGAACCUCUUUGAGAUGUACAAAAUUAGGUGAUUAAAAACCUGCCCGGACAUAGUCUAAUUGAUGCCAUUUCAAUAUUAAUGAGUCGAAAUCGAAUAUACUUAUCACAGGAGGAGAAAAGGGACUUAUAAACAUAUGGAGAAUAACUGAUCAGGUA